AUAUAUAUAUAUAUAUAAAAUUGAGCUCCUAUAUUUUUAAAAGUACCAAGUCAUUGGUGCUUGUAAGUUUUUGGCCCUUGGAUUAAGAGAUAUGCGGUUAGGAUGAUGUGGGCCUCCUAGGGUUGAGUGGGUGGUUGGUUGAAUAGUAUAAUCUAACGGUUGAAAAUGAUCAAAGACGUAGAUCUAACGGUAAAAAACUUACAAGCAUCAUAGCCGGACUCUAUAUAUAUAUAUAUAUAUAUAUAUAAAGGCAAUACCUGAAUCCUACUAUAAACCAAAUUCCAAAAUUUUAGCAAUUUUCCUAAUAUAAAUGUAUUUAAUCCUAAUUUAAAACUUCUAAAACCAUAUUCCCAAAUUUUAGAAAUUUAUUCUUUAUAGAAAAAUCCUAAAAGUCUAAAAAUUCACUAACAAAAUUACUAAAGUAAAAUUUUGAAAAUUAAUUAAAAUAAAAUUCUAAUCCAAUUUAGUUUUUGAUUACGUCACUAAAAUACAAAAAACCUCAUGUAAAAACCUAAAUUUGUAUCUUUUUCCAAUUUUCAAAAAUAUAUAUUUUACCCUCUUAAAAUUUUAGAAAUAUUUUUAAGGAUCGUGACGUUAAUGAAGAUUGCAAAACAACCAAAUUACCCUUACUUAUUCAUCAAAAAAAAAUUAUAGUAUAUUUCUAUUAUUUUUUUUUAAAAAAUUGAUAUUAAUUAUAAUAAACAAAUGAAUCGUGACAAAAUUCUAAUGGAGAAGAUCUAAAUGAAAAAAAAAACCAUCAGUCUUUAGUGCAAGUGGUAAAAAAUUUAAUAGUUUAAAAAAAAUAAACGAAACAAGGAGCACAC
rnacentral:lncRNA from 1 species